rnacentral:lncRNA from 1 species
GUUUUGAACGUCACUAUUCCUUUCGUGGGAAUACAAUUCGAGAUGAAAAGUUUCAAGAAACUUAUUUUCUUCCAAUAAAUAGAUUCAGAAUUAAGGUAAUGAAUGAGAAAUAUGAAAUUAAGAGCUUAUGUUCGUUAAAUUUGUGAAAAAUACUUAUUUUCUUCCAAGAAAUAGAUUCAGAAUUAAGGUAAGGAAUGAGAAAUAUGAAAAUAAGAGCUUCCGUUCGUAAAAUUUGUGAAAAAUGUCGACUAAUCCGUAGGAGGGGGCGCAUUAUAGUAAUUUGUUCCAACCCGAGACAUAAACAAAAACAGGGCUAAUCAGACUUGCCAGAAGAGACGAUGUACAAAUUAAGAAUCUGCUUUUACAUGAAAUGGAUAUAUCCAUA